GCAUCAUAAAUCAUCUGAUAUAGGGAGCUGGUGGAACCUUUGAUUUUUUUUUAUGACGUGAUUUGUCAAGUGCACCUGUGCACUGAAAUGUUUUCUUUUCUAUCCGUCAGGGACAUAUACUAUAAUGAUCCACAGCUGUUUGGGUCACAGAGGACCUUGGAUUCCAUCCUGGAUGACGUUUCAUUCAUGCUCAAGGUUCCUCGCAGGAGUUUGCAUGUGCUUGUAACAUCCAAAGGCUUCAUCUCAGGUGAUCUGUGUUAUUUGGAGGAAGAUGGCACAAAGGUGGACUGCAGUUCCAGCUCCACUGUGAGUCCAGAUCACCAGCCAACCUUUCUGUAAAUCUCACUUAAUGCUCACUGUAUGCCAGUGCAUGAUUUAUAUAGUCCCCUUCAACUCCUCUAUCCAUAAUAUUACUGUCUCCAGUGAAAAUGUUAGCUGAAUUAGGAGAAUAAUAUGCACAGUUCCAACAGUUCUAAUCAAAUGUGUCAUAGUUUGAUAUUAGAGGACAACAGGGGACAGACUUUUUCACUGGAGGAAGCGUUAUUAUGGUUUAUGAAUUCAUAUUUUAGUCAGUUUGAAAUUAAAAACAUCUUGAUGGAUGUGUUUGUUUUGGGGUUUUUUUACAAACACACACAGCUUUUCACUUGACAAGUUAUAAACUGAUGGACUGGAGUGGUGUGGAUUAUUGUGAUGUUUUUAUCAGCUGUUUGGACUCUCAUUCUGACGGCACCCAUUCACUGCAGAGGAUCCAGUGGUGAACAAGUGAUGUACUGCUACAUUUCUCCAAAUCUGUUCUGAUGAAGAAACAAACUCAGCUCCAUCUGAGAUGGCCUGAGUGCAAGGAGAUCAUGUGCAUCUGCAAGUACGGCUCACGGGUAAGUCCUGUUUCCUGCUAUUUCUGUGUAAUUUCCAGUGAGGCUUUUGCAUUGCGGCGACGUGUAAUUAUUCUUCUCUCUUUGUGGCAAGACAAAAAAGAGGAAGCACUCGUUCAUGAACUUAAAAUUUACCCUGUGGAAAAACUAAAGCGUUUCUACAUGUGUGUGCGACACAUCUGCAGAGUAUGA
ensembl:lncRNA